ACAGGAGGAAAUCGCCGGACUUCCGCCCUU
rnacentral:sRNA from 1 species